AACGAACGCUGGCGGCAUGCCUAACACAUGCAAGUCGAACGAGACCUUCGGGUCUAGUGGCGCACGGGUGCGUAACGCGUGGGAACCUGCCCUUAGGUUCGGAAUAACUCCCCGAAAGGGGUGCUAAUACCGGAUAAUGUCUUCGGACCAAAGAUUUAUCGCCUUUGGAUGGGCCCGCGUUGGAUUAGCUAGUUGGUAGGGUAAAAGCCUACCAAGGCGACGAUCCAUAGCUGGUCUGAGAGGAUGAUCAGCCACUCUGGGACUGAGACACGGCCCAGACUCCUACGGGAGGCAGCAGUGGGGAAUAUUGGAAAAUGGGCGAAAGCCUGAUCCAGCAAUGCCGCGUGAGUGAUGAAGGCCUUAGGGUUGUAAAGCUCUUUUACCCGGGAUGAUAAUGACAGUACCGGGAGAAUAAGCUCCGGCUAACUCCGUG
rnacentral:rRNA from 1 species